AGAGUUUGAUCAUGGCUCAGGAUGAACGCUGGCGGCGUGCCUAAUACAUGCAAGUCGAACGCGAGACGAGGGAGCUUGCUCCCUCCGAUCGAGUGGCGGACGGGUGAGUAACACGUAGGCAACCUGCCCAUCAGCCGGGGAUAACUGCGGGAAACCGUGGCUAAUACCGGAUAAACCUUUCCUCCGCGGGGAGGGGAGUUGAAAGACGGUUUCGGCUGUCGCUGAUGGAUGGGCCUGCGGCGCAUUAGCUGGUUGGUGGGGUAACGGCCCACCAAGGCGACGAUGCGUAGCCGACCUGAGAGGGUGAUCGGCCACACUGGGACUGAGACACGGCCCAGACUCCUACGGGAGGCAGCAGUAGGGAAUCUUCCGCAAUGGACGCAAGUCUGACGGAGCAACGCCGCGUGAGUGAAGAAGGGUUUCGGCUCGUAAAACUCUGUUGUUAAGGAGGAAUGACAGGUAGAGUAACUGCUACCUGUGUGACGGUACUUAACCAGAAAGCCACGGCUAACUACGUGCCAGCAGCCGCGGUAAUACGUAGGUGGCAAGCGUUAUCCGGAAUUAUUGGGCGUAAAGCGCGCGUAGGCGGUCUUUUAAGUCUGAUGUGAAAGCCCCCGGCUCAACCGGGGAGGGUCAUUGGAAACUGGAGACUUGAGUGCAGAGAAGAGAGUGGAAUUCAUGUGUAGCGGUGAAAUGCGCAGAGAUAUG
rnacentral:rRNA from 1 species